rnacentral:rRNA from 1 species
GAACGCGAAGAACCUUACCAAGUCUUGACAUCCUUUGACCACUCUAGAGAUAGAGCUUUCCCUUCGGGGACAAAGUGACAGGUGGUGCAUGGUUGUCGUCAGCUCGUGUCGUGAGAUGUUGGGUUAAGUCCCGCAACGAGCGCAACCCUUGCCAUUAGUUGCCAUCAUUUAGUUGGGCACUCUAGUGGGACUGCCGGGGAAAACUCGGAGGAAGGUGGGGAUGACGUCAAAUCAUCAUGCCCCUUAUGUUCUGGGCUACACACGUGCUACAAUGGCCGGUACAACAGGCAGCGAACCCGUGAGGGGGAGCGAAUCCCAAAAGCCGGUCCCAGUUCGGACUGUAGGCUGCAACUCGCCUACACGAAGUUGGAGUUGCUAGUAAUCGCGGAUCAGAAUGCCGCGGUGAAUGCGUUCCCGGGUCUUGUACACACC